ACCACAGGAACACGUUUAAAUGUUACUCUAUGUUCACAUCACAUGGGGUGCCUUAAGUUUGGACGCUUAAGGUUUUAUUUACAUUUUCCAAGGACAUAAAUACAUUCCGUUGCUUUCCUCCAGAGGCUGCCUAGCCUACGAAGAGUUUGAGCUUGGAAGCGGUGCACACCAAAUAGGGACACGGUUGGACUAGAUUUUUGGGAUCCUGCACCCAAUAAAUAAGAAGAGGAGAUGAGCCUUGAGUCUCAUUAGAUGACAGAUUUUUGAGAAGCUCAAAUGUAUGGGAAGGUUCCACUUCUUCACUUCAAGGGACUGCAGAUGGUGUGAAGCAGGAGCACUGAAACAUAAGGAGUCGGGGAAAAGAUGGUUGGAGGCUCACUGGAAAUGACAGGCGGCUAUCAGUGAACGAACUCUUUAUCAAUGACUCCCAGAGACUGCUGCUAAUUUUGAUUUGAAAGCUGCAAAUCGCUGGAUGACAGUUUCAACUGGUGCAGCCUGGGUGUCAGCCCCCGCAUGCACGGAUUAGGAGUGACCUCAGCUGCUCCAUGUCUGGGCCAACCCCACCCUCCCUGCACUGCCGCCUUGUGAAAAGGAUGCGGAAUUUGGUCAGAACUGUUCAUGUCAGAGCUCAGCAGAACGGCAGAUGAAUCCUGGGAGAGCACUGCCUAUUCUGAGAAAGG